UACGUAGGUGGCAAGCGUUGUCCGGAUUUAUUGGGUUUAAAGGGUGCGUAGGCGGCCUUUUAAGUCAGUGCUGAAAUACUCUAGCUUAACUAGAGGGGUGGCAUUGAUACUGAAAGGCUUGAGUUAAGUCGAAGUAGGCGGAAUUGACGGUGUAGCGGUGAAAUGCUUAGAUAUCGUCAAGAACACCGAUAGUGAAGACAGCUUACUAGACUUCAACUGACGCUGAGGCACGAAAGUGUGGGGAUCAAACAGG
rnacentral:rRNA from 1 species